UACGUAGGUGGCAAGCGUUGUCCGGAUUUAUUGGGCUUAAAGGGUGCGUAGGCGGCUUUGUAAGUCAGUGGUGAAAUAUGGCAGCUCAACUGUCAGGGUGCCAUUGAUACUGCAGAGCUUGAGUACAGAUGAGGUAGGCGGAAUUGACGGUGUAGCGGUGAAAUGCUUAGAUAUCGUCAAGAACACCUGUAGCGAAGGCAGCUUACUAGGCUGUAACUGACGCUGAGGCACGAAAGUGUGGGGAUCAAACAGG
rnacentral:rRNA from 1 species